rnacentral:rRNA from 1 species
CGCGAAUUCUUUGGAAUUCAGUCAGUUCUAUGAGGACUCUGAGAGUGAUUUGAGGAUUCGAAAAGUAAAGCUGUACGCCAGGAAACAUUUGACAACCCCUGAUAAACAAGGCAUGGCUAACUACUUGCUGGCAUCCGCGGCAAUACCUAGGUGCAGAGCGUUGUCCGGAAUAACUGGCGGUAAAGGAUGCGAAAUUGGACAUUUACGUGGGAUGGGAAAACCGGGGCUCUCACCCGGUAACUGCUUUCUAAACUGGAUGUCUCUUGUGCAGGGGAGGAAAGAGGAUUUUCUAUUGCACCGAUGAAUUGCCCCUAUAUUUGGAGAAACACCAGUCACUAAAGCGGAUCCCUGCACUGUCUCUGACAUUGACGCCCGAACGCGUCCCAGCACAACGAAUAAUAUACCCUGUUAUGUUCGCCCCAAAAGAUGGGAACCAGGUGUGGGAGGCGUCGACCCCUUCCGUCCCAUAUAAAGCACUAUUAAUCCCCCCCCUGGGCUACACGCCCGCGACACUAA